AGGGUGCGUAACGCGUGAGCAACAUGCCCGUAUCAGGGGGAUAAUCCAUGGAAACGUGGUCUAAUACCCCAUAGUAAGUUUUUGGGGCAUCUCAAAGAUUUUAAAGCCUUGGUGGAUACGGAUUGGCUCGCGUGACAUUAGCUAGAUGGUAAGGUAACGGCUUACCAUGGCUACGAUGUCUAGGGGUUCUGAGAGGAAGGUCCCCCACACUGGAACUGAGACACGGUCCAGACUCCUACGGGAGGCAGCAGUGAGGAAUAUUGGACAAUGGAUGGAAAUCUGAUCCAGCCAUGCCGCGUGCAGGAAGACGGCCCUAUGGGUUGUAAACUGCUUUUGUAUGGGAGCAAUAAGAUCUACGUGUAGAUUGAUGAGAGUACCAUACGAAUAAGCACCGGCUAACUCCGUGCCAGCAGCCGCGGUAAUACGGAGGGUGCAAGCGUUAUCCGGAUUUAUUGGGUUUAAAGGGUGCGUAGGCGGUUUGAUAAGUCAGCGGUGAAAUAUUUCAGCUUAACUGGAAGGGUGCCGUUGAUACUGUCGAGCUUGAAUUUAGUUGCUGUGGGUGGAAUGUGUGGUGUAGCGGUGAAAUGCAUAGAUAUCACACAGAAUAUCGAUUGCGAAGGCAGCUCACAAAGCUAAUAUUGACGCUGAUGCACGAAAGUGUGGGGAUCAAACAGGAUUAGAUACCCUGGUAGUCCACACAGUAAACGAUGAUAACUCGCUGUUCGGCGAUAACACCAAGUCGGUGGCCCAAGCGAAAGCGAAUAA
rnacentral:rRNA from 1 species